rnacentral:lncRNA from 1 species
GGGGUAUUCUGGUUGCCUUACCCAGCUCUGAAGUCUGUCAGCCUCUUCAGAUGUCACUUGCCCUGUGGUAAGGAAGUGUAGUUGGCAGCUGGUGCAGUGGCAAGAAGAGAAAGGAAGUUCCCCAAGACAGAAACAUCUCGGCAGGUUUGGAAUAGUUCACCAGUGAAGUCAUCUCAACCAGCACAGGGCCUUGACUCCUAACAACAAUCACACGAACUUGGAAGAGGAGCCUUCCCCACCUGAACCUUCACUUGAGACUUUGUCCUUGGCCAUCAUCUACAUCUGGAUUCGUGAUACAGAGAAACUUGAGUAAUGAUGACAAUAGCAGUCCAGCCUGCAUGGAUGCUGACAUGGAUGCUGUCUCCCAUUCUUACCACUGGAUGUGAAGAAAUGCUAGAUGCAAUCAAUCCAAUCUGUACUCGACUCUCAGUUGCAUC